rnacentral:tRNA from 1 species
CGGGGUCCCCGGCGUGCUUGCACGACGGGGUUUUCAGCGGACUUUGACUCCGCCAUGCGUUGGUUCGAAUCCAGCCGCCCCAG